CUCCUACGGGGCGCAGCAGUGGGGGAUAUUGCACAAUGGGGGGAACCCUGAUGCAGCGACGCCGCGUGGGUGAAGGAGCGUUUCGGCGCGUAAAGCCCUAUCGGCAGGGAAGAAGGAGGACGGUACCUGACUAAGAAGCCCCGGCUAACUACGUGCCAGCAGCCGCGGUAAUACGUAGGGGGCAAGCGUUAUCCGGAAUUAUUGGGUGUAAAGGGUGCGUAGACGGGACAGCAAGUUAGUUGUGAAAGCCCUCGGCUUAACUGAGGAACUGCAACUAAAACUAUUGUUCUUGAGUGCAGGAGAGG
rnacentral:rRNA from 1 species